UACGAGGGGGGCAAGCGUUAUUCGGAUUCACUGGGCGUAAAGGGUGCGCAGGUGGUCGGGUGUGUCAGAUGUGAAAUCCCGGAGCUUAACUCCGGAACUGCGUCUGAAACUGCACGACUAGAGCAUUGGAGAGGGUAGUGGAAUUCACGGUGUAGCAGUGAAAUGCGUAGAUAUCGUGAGGAACACCAGAGGCGAAGGCGACUACCUGGACAAUUGCUGACACUCAGGCACGGAAGCAUGGGGAGCAAAAGGG
rnacentral:rRNA from 1 species